rnacentral:rRNA from 1 species
UGGGGGAUAUUGCACAAUGGGCGAAAGCCUGAUGCAGCGACGCCGCGUGGGGGAUGAAGGCCUUCGGGUUGUAAACUUCUUUUGCUCUGAACAAGGCAUGCUAAUGGGUGUGUUGAGUGUAGGGGUUGAUUAGCGCCGGCUAACUACGUGCCAGCAGCCGCGGUAAUACGUAGGGCGCGAGCGUUGUCCGGAAUUAUUGGGCGUAAAGGGCUUGUAGGUGGCUGGUUGCGUCUGUCGUGAAAGCUCAUGGCUUAACUGUGGGUGUGCGGUGGGUACGGGCUGGCUUGAGUGCAGUAGGGGAGGCUGGAAUUCCUGGUGUAGCGGUGGAAUGCGCAGAUAUCAGGAGGAAUACCGGUGGCGAAGGCGGGUCUCUGGGCUGUUACUCACACUGAGGAGCGAAAGCAUGGGGAGCGAACAGG